CUUUCUUUCCUUACAUCUUUCGUUUUUGUGGUGAUUUUUCUCAUGCCCUGAAAAUUUAUAACAAGAAUAAAAUCACUUUAAAUUAAGAUGUAUGGAGGUACCGUCACACCUAGUGUUGAUAGGCGAGAUGGAGAAACUUCUUCUCACCGUUCUUAAACUUAGAAAUUCGAUUAGGGAUAAAUCGUAGAGAAAGUGACUUGCUGCCAUCAGAAUAAGGCUGAAUGGUGGAGAUUGAUUAGUGUUGAGAGUCCAACAAUGAAUAUGAGACUUGGGUUUGUUUCAAAUUUGAUUUUUGUUGAAGCGAGAAAUCAGUGAGGACUUAUAGGGAAAAUUGAUUUAAACCCUAUUGGUGUACUGGAUCCAAGCUUGGCCGAUCAAAUGCAUGCUUAAGAACUGAUGUGCCACUUUGUAUGUUUUUUGGCACCCUUCUGCUUGGAGGGAACUGGUCUUGGUUCACCUUUGUUAGUCAUCCUGUGUUUUUGGAGGAGUGAUGCACCUUUGUAUGUCACGCGUGGCUCAUUUAGGAGAAUUAAACGUCCACAUACCCAUGUCUUGAAAGGGGCUCCAGUAGUGGUUACUAUAAUCAAGGUCGUGUGACGCUGAUGGAAAGUUGGCAGAAUCGAAGAUUUCUUCGUUAGAACUGAACCAAGUGAGGAUGUAUAUUUCUAUAUCUGGAUGCAACAUCUCUUGUCUCGACGCUUAUCUGCACUUUCCUUUGUUUCAGUUUCGUUAUUGUUGUACUAGCGUACUCUUAUUGUCUUGUGUUUUCUCCUCUUAUGGUUCAGCCUCCAAUUUCGUGUCUACUGACUGUCUGAUGGCGUAACUUGUAGCCGUUUGAUUAUAAAAAAUAAAAAAAUAAUAAAUUUAUGUGGUUCAAAA